rnacentral:misc_RNA from 1 species
UUGGAAAGUUGAAGGGAGCAAGAAAGCUAGGAAAAAUCUGCCCUCAGAGCAGAAAAUUUUGGACAAUGGAUAUGUGGGGGUUCAAGGAGGUGAUGAGGAUAGAGGAACGGACCAGGAAAGGGAAGAACCUACUUCUACGUAAUAUUUGACUUUUCUUUUACCUCUCAAAGCAGUCUUGCCUUGCAAGAUUUGGAAUUAGUGAAGUUUCUGAGUAUAAAUUUUGAGAGAAAUGUAGGGAACAUGAUCUUUAUAAAUUUAACACAUUUAUAAGAACGUUCAAAUUUCCUUCAAAAAAAA